rnacentral:lncRNA from 1 species
UCACAUGUUGUUUUUCCCUUCUUUCAAUAUACACAUUGAACGACACCAGUAGCUAGGAUGAACUUCUCUCUUUCAACUACCUUUCCACACAAUAAUAUAUGAACUUCUCGGAACAUAAAUUUCAUUGAGCACUUUUCUACACACAGAACACACAUGAAGGGAGGUUGAAGAUGUGCACGUGGGAUGCAUCAACAUGUAGGAAAGUUUAGUACUAACUAGCACACGGGAAUGAAAGAUGUAUCAGAAGAAAUGCUUACUCAUCUCGAAUCAAAGACGGACCAGAGGAGAACAACAGCAGAAUUUUGUCUAGAAACAAAGUUCAUAACACUACAAUCUACCUCCCAAAACAACACUAGACUUGGGGGAUUUGUUCCUCUGUUUUGAUGUUGCGCCUUUUUAUGGGUUGAUCCCAAUCAGAACACACCAAUCUUCAUGCUUUUUUUUACUUGUUUUCAACCUGCACAACCGUAAGAUACGAACUAGUUGAUGGAAUUUUUCACAUCGAAAUAGGCAUACACAAGGAUGAGGAAGGGAACGUGAGGAGGACACACUCGUGGACGCGCCGCGCUCAGGGAUGGAGG